GGGAAAUAACAAGAGGUCCUCUGAUGAAUGUUGCAGAUCGCCAUGGUUACGGUUCAGAGAUGCAGCAAAAAGCAAUUAUGGUGGAAGAGAAGAAAGAAAUGCACCUCUUUGUCAGAAUUUCAUAACAGCUGUAAUAACACUAGAGCACCCAAAUGAAUGUAAAAUAACUGAAAUAUUGUGGCGUGUUAAAUGCCAGCACAUUAAAAAAUUGUAUUUCAAUGUCA
rnacentral:lncRNA from 1 species